AGAGUUUGAUCAUGGCUCAGAAUGAACGCUGGCGGCAGGCCUAACACAUGCAAGUCGAGCGGGCACCUUCGGGUGCUAGCGGCGGACGGGUGAGUAACGCGUGGGAACAUACCCUUUGGUACGGAAUAGCCUCGGGAAACUGAGAGUAAUACCGUAUGUGGUCGUAAGACGAAAGAUUUAUCGCCAGAGGAUUGGCCCGCGUUGGAUUAGGUAGUUGGUGGGGUAAUGGCCUACCAAGCCGACGAUCCAUAGCUGGUUUGAGAGGAUGAUCAGCCACACUGGGACUGAGACACGGCCCAGACUCCUACGGGAGGCAGCAGUGGGGAAUCUUAGACAAUGGGCGCAAGCCUGAUCUAGCCAUGCCGCGUGAUCGAUGAAGGCCUUAGGGUUGUAAAGAUCUUUCAGUGGGGAAGAUAAUGACGGUACCCAC
rnacentral:rRNA from 1 species